GUUUCCGUAGUGUAGCGGUUAUCACGUCUGCUUCAGCCGCAGAAGGUCCCCGGUUCGAUCCCGGGCGGCAACA
rnacentral:tRNA from 1 species